GGAGAGACGUAAGAGGUGGAGUAAGGCUAGAAUCUUAAACUGGUGUACAGGGGCGGAGACUCAGAUGGAGCUUCGCCGAUCUAACCCCUAGACGUAGAGCUGGGGCGCUGCGGCUUGAAAAUGGAAACUGUACUUCAAUAAAGACUUUUGUACAUUACUGCCGGCUAGCGUUGGUCCUCUGUGAGCUGGGACCUGGAGCCAGCUCUGACAGUAAGCUCCAUCUCAUAAAGUUUUGCACCAAAAACCUCGUAACGUGAGUGGACGCAGCGAGGGAAGAAGAUUGGUGCUUCGCGAGCUCACAAAAGUCAGGCAAGAUGACUACAGAACAGCAACUAGCAGCCCUGCAAAAUGCAGUGACACAACUCAACGCGGAGGUACUCGCAUCCAGGAAAAGGGAAGAGGAAGCGGCUGCCGCCUGCAGGGAUCUCCAAGCCAGGUUGGAAGUGCUUGCUAAGCAGGGGCAACCGGGACCCAAAUCAGAGGGGAUUGGGCUGGGGAAAAGAGGAGGCAGCCUGGUAUCUCAUUUCGAUGGGAAUUUGCAGCAGUACCCUAACUUCCGAGCAGACGUGCUGUUUGCGCUGGAACUGCUGGAUAAAGACUUUAGAGAUGAGCAAGAGAAGGUGGGGUUUAUCUUGUCCCAUUUGCAUGGGGAAGCUAAAGCGUGGCUGCGCAAUCUGUGGAGAGAUAAGGAUCCGGCGCUCCAAAAUGCGGAUGCAUUCAUUAAAGCGAUGGAUUCGUGUUUUUUAUCAAAUAUAGACAUUGAUAUCGCCAGAAAAGACAUACAUGGGCUCAAACAAGGCAGAGCCAGUGUAAGGCAGUACCAUUCCCGCUGUGUUGCAUUAGUCCAUGCGCUGGGAUGGGAGAAGGAUUCUGCCCCAGCCAGAGACCUUUGUUGGGAAGGCUUGAAUGCAAAUGUGAAAGAUGAGAUUGCAAGGGGGGAGAGACCAAAGAGCACUCAGGAGGUUGUCCGGCGGGCGCUGCAAAUUGGGGUGCGUCUGGAAGAACGUCCAUGGAACAGAGAAGAAGGACGUUGGGGACGUACGCCAGUGAGAGCACCUCCCUCUUUCCCAAGGAUGCAGCGCGUGUGCAAUCCCCACCUCCGCAAGGAGGGGAGAGCAACCGAUGGAGAUUGGAGGCGCCAGGGCUCAGUCAGCAACCAGAGCCCUAACACCGGGAGCAGUCAAAGCGAAGCCUCCUAGAGGGAACAGGAAGUGCUACAUCUGCGACAGUGCUCAGCACAUGGCGAAAGAGUGUCCCCAGAGGCUCCACAAGCACACUGCAGCCUCAGCAACAGUAACAGACGCAACUCAGCACAGAGAACCACAGCAGGGAAACGACAGAGUCUGGUUGGAGGAAGAGGCACUGGGGCCCAGCCAGACAAGUCAAUGAAGCCGUCCCCAGAGAUUUUGCAGCCCACAGACCCCCUCCCGCCCAAACCAGUGGUGCAGCUCACAGCAUCGCUCCAACUACCCAAUGGACUCACUAUGGAAGUGCCGAUUACCAUUGACUCUGGUAGUAACGCAGACUUCAUAGGACUGGAUUUCAUUCAAGAGCACAACAUAGCACUCCUGCCAGCCACGCUGCCUCUGAAAGUUGUCACGGUGGAUGGCAGGGAAUUGCUGGGGGGGCAGGUGGUGCAGCAAACGCCUCCGAUGAUGAUGCAAAUUGGGAAUCACCGAGAAGUCAUCAGCUUCAAUGUCACCCAACUGUCGGACACGCCUAUAGUAUUAGGCAUGAGUUGGCUGCACAGGCACAGCCCAGCAUUGGCGUGGUACCAGCGACAACUGACCUUCGGCUCCUCAUACUGUGCGGAACAUUGCAUUCUGCCUAGCCCGGAAGGGGAAGAGGAUGACCCGCAGCUACAAUUAGGCACGCUGCAAGCAGUGCCACUCAAGUACGCAGCGUUUUUGGAGGUUUUCUGCGAGAAGGAAGCGGACAAGCUACCUCCCCACAGGUCCUAUGACUGCAAGAUUGACCUCCUGCCAGGGGCGACGCUGCCAACCGGGAAACUGUAUUCCAUGUCUGAAGACGAGCUGCAGGAACUCAGGGAGUUCAUAGACCUCAACUUGAAGCGCGGUUUCAUCCAGGAGUCGAAGGCAGUGGGGGGCAGUCCUGUAUUCUUUGUGAAGAAGAAGGACACGCCCCAAAAAAGGCUUGUGGUGGACUAUAGAAUUUUGAACUCGAAAACCAAGCCCACAGCCUUUCCCAUGCCCAAGAUAGAUGACCUGCUCGCAACGGUGAGGAAAGGACGCGUUUUCACAAAGUUGGAUCUGCGAGGGGCGUACAACCUGAUUCGCAUACGGGAGGGCGACGAAUGGAAGACUGCCAUGUUCACGCCCCUGGGCACCUAUGAAUACAGAGUUAUGCCCUUUGGAUUACAAAAUGGCUCCCACUGUUUUCAAGCCUUCAUGCAUCACGUAUUGGCGGGUCUCCUCUACAAGAAAUGCGUCUGCUUCCUGGACGACAUCCUGAUAUUUUCAGAAUCAGAGGAGACCCACGAGGGAGACGUCAAGGAAGUUCUGCAGAGACUGCAGGAGCACAGGCUGUACGCCAAGCUGGAGAAGUGCCAGUUCGACAUGAAGGAGGUAGAUUUCCUGGGCUACAAGUUGUCGGACAAGGGGCUCGCCAUGGACAGCGCCAAGGUUCGCUCAGUGUUGGACUGGAAGAGCCCGCGCAAUCGGAAGGAGGUCCAGCGGUUUGUCGGUUUCGCCAACUUUUACCGCAAGUUCAUCAAGGGGUUCGCGAUGCAGACGGCGGCCAUUACCGACACGCUCAGCUCCAAGAAGAAGAAGUUCAUCUGGACGGAGCAAGCGGAGCAGUCCUUUCAGAAACUCAAGCGUCUCUUCUCGUCCGAAGAGCAGCUACUGCAUGUGAAUCCCAGCAGACCGAUGAGGGUUGAAACGGACGCCUCAGACAGAGCCGUGGGAGCAGUACUGUUGCAGCAAGACCCGCAUGGGGACUGGAGACCGUGUGCCUUCUACUCCAGGAAGCUCAGCAAGUCAGAGCAGAACUACACCAUCUGGGACAGGGAGUUGCUGGCCAUUCAUGCAGCAUUCAAGGCGUGGCGGCACUUCCUCAUUGGAGCCAAACACACAGUGCAGGUCCGCACGGACCAUAAAACCUGGAGUACUGGCGCACGGCAAGGUUCCUGAACCAGAGGCACAUACGAUGGGCGGAGUUCUUUGCGGAUUUCGACUUCAGGAUAGAGUACAUCCCAGGCGACAACAACAUCAUGGCGGAUGCACUGUCCAGAAAGCCGCAAUACCUCGAGGAGGCGGCACCAGCAGCGGCCAAGCACAUUUUCGCACCGAAAGCGUGGGCGUGCGCUUCAGCAACCGUGGACCUGGAUGCUGUACGGCGAGCACUGCAGGAGGACCCCUUCGCGCAAGCAAAGAUGGCAGAGGUGCAAAGGGGCACGGCGGAGGACGACGAGUUCCAGAUACGCGACGGAUUGCUCAUCCGCAGAGGGGCCCUCUACGUACCGGGAGACGACCUCCGCGCGAAAGUACUGCAGCAGUUGCACGACGCACCCACCGCCGGGCACUUUGGCAAAGAGAAGACGGUAGAAUUAGUAGCCAGAGAUUUUUGGUGGCCCAAGAUGCGGGGGAAGUCGCGGAUUACGUCUCGAGGUGCGACACCUGCCAAAGGGCCAAGUCAGUGCACAAACCGCCGGCGGGACUGCUCGAACCGCUGCAGACACCGCUCGAACCGUGGGAGAGGGUGGCCCUGGACUUUGUCACGGAUCUACCCAGCUCGAGGGGCAAGACGGCAGUGCUAGUGGUGGUGGACAUGUUCACCAAAAUGGCCCACUUCAUUCCGUGCGCGAAGGUGGCCACGGCGGAACAGACCGCCAAACUGUUCAUAGACCACGUGUUCAGGGUUCACGGUCUGCCACGGUCUAUCCUGUCCGACCGGGGCGACAGUUCAUCUCGAACUUCUGGCAGAAGCUGAUGGGUUUCCUGAACGUCAAGAUCAACCUAGCGUCGGCGAGACACCCGCAGACGAACGGACAAGCGGAGCGAGUCAACGCCAUCAUGCAGCAGUACCUGCGAUGCUACGCAAAUCAGCAGCCGGCAACAUGGGUGGACUACCUGCCGCUCGCUGAGUUCGCCUACAACAACACGAAGCACGUGUCCACGGGGGUGACACCGUUCUUCGCCAACAACGGGAGGCAUCCCAGAACCUUCCCGGGAUUAGCGAGAGCGGGGGGGGGGAGCCACAGGCAGCGGAAGCCUUAGCAUCAGAGUUGCAGGAGGUUCACGAACAGCUUCGGAGGCAGUUAGAACUAGCAAAGCACGCAUACAAACUGCAGGCUGACAAGCACAGAAGGGUUGGGGAAGACAUACAGGUGGGAGACUGGGUUUGGUUAGCAGCCCAGGCAGUGCCGGCCAGAUCGUUAGCGAAGAAGAAGCUAGGGCAUAAGCAGCUAGGACCCUACCAAGUCGAGGCACAGGUCAAUCCAGUGGCCUUCCGGUUGACACUGCCGGAGGGAUCCAGAAUGCACCCAGUUUUCCAUAGAUCAGUGCUCACGCCCUACAAAGCACCUCAUAGAUUUCAGGAGCCAGGAACGGCACCAGACCCGUUCAGGGAAACGCCCACAAGGGGGGGGUCGCCAAGGCGGGAACCCGUCAACGAAGUCACAGAGAUUUUAGACUCGAGAUGGGGGGAAGAGGGAGUAGAAUAUCUUCUCGCCAGAGAAGGUACCCCGGCCAGCGCCAACAGUUGGGUGCCAGACCAUGCCUUGGACGAACCUUUUCUCAAGGACGAGUUUCAUGCCCUUUUCCCACACAGGCCCAUGCCAGCCGAGUAUUUCGACGACUGGCUUUUCACACCCACAUUUUCAGCUAGCACAUUCCAGGGGUUCACCUCGGACGAGGAACCGGCACUAGAAACACGUUCCCCGGAGGGAUCACCCUCGGGUCUGCCUCAGACCGUUCCUAUUGGUGGGACAAUCAACCAGAGGAGCAGUGGCGCAGGAAGUGGCUGGGGGGUCCUUGGCAGGCAACGCCCCCGGAGGAGACCGGGGAGAGACGGACAUGGACGUGUUGGGGGAGGACCUUGGGCUCGAGCACGGCGGCAAAGAGAUGGAAGCAGAGGAAAUUGAGGUCGGCGAGAGCACGGAGGACGAGCCGGACUUAUCCGGCUGGAUGCACGCCACGGGGGACGAACUGUAUCCGGCACUCACCCCCACAACGACGGAGCACCCAGUACCCACACCUGAAGGAGGGGAGGGGGAAGGGGGGCUUCGAGGGGGAUGGAUGUCAGGGGUUCAGGAGCAGAGGCACAGGAAAGGGAGGAAAUAGAGAGCGAGGGGGAGGAGUCCGAAGGAAAUGUUAGCGAUGACAGCGGUCCGAGGUCUCUGAGUCUUUCCAGCGAAUCGGAAGAUUCACAGAAAGGGGCUCCCUUGGUCAGAGCAAGGGGGUGCCGAGGGGGACACCCCAGGAAGAAGGGGCCAGAGGGGACUCAGAGAGCAGCAGUUGGAAAUCAGGACCAGCGUCCACACCAGAGUGCAGUAGGGGGGAGGGGUCCCAGGCAUCGGGAUCAGGCGGCGCACUGCCAGUGGGAGGACAUGAGUCAGGAUUGGCCACGCCUCCAUCGGGGAGCGAGGAAACGGUCGAGAGGAAGGUUGAAGGCUGGGCGCGCGCGCCAAGUUCAAAUGUACAGGAGGGCGGCGCAGUUGGCAGCCCGGAUAGGGAGCCAGGUCCCAAAGCCCGCCGAAAAGAGGGGGAGGAGUCAGGGGGGUCAGCGUCAGAAGAAUCCAGGAAGGAAGGGACCCCGGGGGGUAGCAGGACCCAGAGGAGAAAGGAGAGACGUAAGAGGUGGAGUAAGGCUAGAAUCUUAAACUGGUGUACAGGGGGCGGAGACUCAGAUGGAGCUUCGCCGAUCUAACCCCUAGACGUAGAGCUGGGGCGCUGCGGCUUGAAAAUGGAAACUGUACUUCAAUAAAGACUUUUGUACAUUACUGCCGGCUAGCGUUGGUCCUCUGUGAGCUGGGACCUGGAGCCAGCUCUGACA
rnacentral:lncRNA from 1 species